rnacentral:lncRNA from 1 species
AACUUGGUGGAGUAUCCUCCACAAGGGGCGCACUUUGAUAUUCAACUCCUGCUUUUGAAUUGGAUUCUUCUGACAUUUCAUCAUUGGGUGGGAAACUUGGCAGAGUAUCAUCUACAACAGGUGCACUUUCUGAUUCAACUUCUGAUUUUGAAGUGGGUUCCUCUGAUCUUGCAUCAUUUGGUGGGAAACUUGACAGAGUAUCAUCGACAACUAGGGCUCUCUCAGAUUCAACUUCUGAUUUUGGAUGGGGUUCUUUUGAUAUAGUAUCAUUAGGUGGGAAACUUGACAGAGUAUCAUCUACAACGGGCCCAAUCUCCAAUUCAAUUUCUGAUUUUGAAUUGGGUUCUGAUAUUGCAUCAUU